UGAAGAAGCGAUGAGUUGGAACCAAUUACUGUACUGGAAUUGGGUUCCAAUAUAAUAACCCUCGCUUCUGAUACCAGAGAGAGAGAGAGAGAAGGAUAACCGACGUUCAAUUAGACAUGAAAACUAAUUGAAGAGGAAGUGGGAUGACCGAUGACGACGACGACAGCACCGGCGACGAGAAGAAAAUGCCGAACGAGGAAUCCGCUCCAUAUGUUGUUGUAGUUGUUGGAAAAUCCUCGUUGAUCAAGUCUUUAGUGAAACAUUAUACCCGUAAAACUCUUACCGACAUCACAAACCCCAUUACGAUUUUAUCAGGAAACUUUCAAGUUCCUUAACCUGUUAAAAGUUCACGGAAUGCGUAAGGUGAUGGGGGUGCUUACAUAUCUUGAUAACUUUAAUAAUGUUGAUCACCUAAAAAAAGCAAAGAAUGUUCUGUUUAUGCGAUCUCGAUCACGGGAUGUAUUCAAAGGAUGAAAUUCGCGAAUUGGCGAGCUUCAUAUCGCUUAUGGAAGCUGCACAUCCUUAUGUGCUUUUAGAUCAUUUUGAAGAUGUCACUGCUCCAGAGGAAGUGCGCAUGCAUAAUGAGUGCACUAGAGAUGUAAUCUUGUAUGGGUAGUGACAUCCAGAAAGGAACUAAGUUGAUUUCGAUGUCUAUCUUGGUAAUGAUAGUAUACCCAUAUCUGACUAUUAUAACAUGCUCCUGAAUCACAUUUUUCACACGCUUUUGCACGGUGCAUAUUGCGGGUAUUGGUGAUUUCCAUUCAGCUUGUAUUACAAGUGUCGCUGAUCCUUUCCCUUUACCGCCUGUUGAUGGCCAUAAUCUGGAGGUUGAUCUUGAUGAGAUAACCUAUUUGGAGAUCGGGAGUAUUAAACCGGGGACUUAUCUAAUGUUUGAAAUCCGUGGCAUUACUUUUGAAGUCGUCCUCCUUGUCAGCCUAUUCUUGUUGGAGGUAUUGCUCCCGAAGAAGAAAAUGCUGGAUAUAUGCAGGCGGAACUUAAGCAACGUAGCCGGCCCACAAAAUCAUUGAAGACAAAUAAUCCAAUUAUGGUUUCGGUUGGUUGGAGAAGGUACCAGACAACACCUAUCUAUGCCAGGGAAGACCGCCAUGGAAUGUAUCGAAUGCUCGAACACACUCCUGAAGACGUUCCUUGUCUUGCAGUAUUUUGGGGCCCUCUUGCACCUCCCAACACUAGAGUUGUUGCUGUGCAGAGUCUGGCAGACCACGAGUCAGCAUUUCGGAUUUUAGCAACUGGGGUUGUACUCAAUAACCAUGCUGCAAAGAUAGUGAAGAAAAGCAAGCGGAUUGGAACUCCUUGUAAGAUCUUCAAUGAUUUUGCCCUUACCAAUGACAUGUUUACAUCAGAUGAUGAAAUUGAUCAGUUUAAAGAUGCAAAGAUUGAGACUGAGAGCGGAAUUGGUGGAAGCUGAAUACGGGGAAAUUGGAGAUGCUACUUCUGAAGUUCUUUGGGUUCAUCUUUGCUUACUGAACUUAAUUUCUGUUCUUCUUCUCCUCCGGCUCUGUGGUGUGACAACUUAGGGGCUACUUUUCCAAGAACCCGAUUUUUCAUCAUCGCAUGAAGCAUAUUGAGAUUGCAUUUAUUUUGUGAGGGCCCUUGUAGCUGCUGGGAAACUGUUUGUGAAGUUCAUUUCUACUGAUAAUCAAAUUGCAGAUGCUCUUACCAAGCCAUUGUCUACUGUUAGAUUUGCUUUCUUAUGCAACAAGCUCAGUGUCACUGCUUCUGCAGUCCCCCUGGACUUGGGUGGGUGAAUGAAUGUAAUAAGGGUGUGGGUGAAUGAAUGUAAUAAGGGUGUAACAAACCUCAACUGCUAUCUUUUAUUUACUUUUGUUUUCAGAUGAGUCAAAGUCAGUCAAUCUGUUGACUUGAUUAUAUAUACUUACCCUUUCUCUGUG